GUUUGGUGAUAUGGAGGCCACUAGUUGCUGUGAUAACCGCUAGACGGAGAUGGUGGGCAUGAUGACUAGUUGUAAAGGGUUCAAGAGAGAAUGAGAAGAAAAGAAGAGAGAUCGCAAGGAGAGCACAGCCCCAGGUCCAUUAAUAGAGCUGCGGUGUUGAAGCAUCUUUUAAAGUUGGAAGGUAAUAUGUGUUUACAUAUCGGUAGGCAUGGUCCAGUAGAGGCAGAAAACAUGAUGAUGCAGGAAGAAGAAAACGUCUUGAGAAAGGUGACUCCGGGGACUUGCUGGCCUCUGACUCUGAUUCUUGCCUCCCCUUUGGGAAACUGCUUCUGAUGCUCCAUAAGCUUUGGCUGAUGUCAGCUGAAGACAGCACGGGCUACAUACAAAAGGAACUUUCUGACUUGGAAGUCGAGGAUGCUCGUGCAGCUUCCCAAAGAUGUUGAGUUAGAGUUGGCCGUCAGACAAGCACAUGCUGAUAAAGUUCUCAGACUUCCUGUGUUCAUUAGGCCAAUGAUCAAGCUCAGAUUUUGAUGUAGAAGAGCCCACUGGAUCUCCAGACACAGGAUAGUUGCAUAAUAAGUAUCUAUAAGUGACUUUUGAAGAAAUAAAUGAGUUAACAUCGCCCCAUCUGGGAUAGGGAAACUUAAGAUGAGUACCAUCCUUCUAGCUAGUAAGAGGUUGACUUAUAAAAGUUCUGGACAGGCUCUGUAAGUGUGGUGGAUUUGAGAUCACAUCUUAAUGAUCAGCUAAGUCAAGAAGGGUCAAAUAGCUACCAAGCCACAUACGGAAGUUCAGGAAAAUUGCAUCAGGAGAUCUCUAAAAUGUCACUGUCGAUUACAUAAUCUAAGCCUUUCUACUCCAUACUGUUCAAUAUGAGCAGAAGAUGUGAAGUAAGAAGAGGGCCAAAGGUAGUUUGAGAUAGAGAAAGAGAGCCAUCGAAACCCCACUUUGGACAGAAUUGUUGCCUUAAGCCCAAUGAGGACCUUUACUUUUGCAAAACAAAGAGCUUUCCCCAGAUAAGCACCCCCUUCACCUUCAUCAUGAGUCAGUACUACGGGCCGUGGAACAUGCUAGGGCAGAAAUCCCCAGUGCACUGAAAACUCACUCUCCCACGUUCUGUUAAGUGUCCUCAUUUUCCACCUGUUUCUUUCUUUCUUUCUUUCUUUCUUUCUUUCUUUUUUUAAAUGCAAAGCACUUAAGGUGACUUUUCUCUUUUUCUCUAUAGAUACAACUUAUCUUAGUUGAGGAGUGGAGGGGAAAAUUUCAACAAAUCUAGGCUCUCUUAUUCUUUGGAAAACUCUGUACAUUCUUUUACAUUUUAGAUUACAAAAAAAAAAAAAGUGAUGUUGAUGUUAGAUGAACUAAAUGAGGGCCAGGAGAGAGAUGGGGAAAUACAAUUUCCUAAGACCCGGGUCAAAAGCCUGACAGCUCCUCCCCAUCUUGUUUCUUAUUCUGAAGGAAGGUGGGCAUGAGUAACCAGAUGAUGGGAUCUAUGAGGGAUGGCCAUGGGCUCUGGCCACACGGGGCGCAUACAGAGGCCCCUGGGUGGGGAAGGUAUUCAGGACUAGGUCACAGAUUCUUCCAGAAAAAGCCAUGAGGUGCUGUCAGCAAAGACAGUAGGCAACUUUCAACCACCAAGACAUCCUGUCACGUGGUUCUCGCUCUGCGCCCAAAAAAGACGUCAGUCAGUGGCCCAUUUUAGGACAUCGUUACCCGUCACAGGCUGAGAACCAAAGAAUGGGAGUUGGCUGAUCAGCUCUCCUUCCUCCCCUGCGCUCUCUUUUCCUUUCUUCCUCACUUCCUUUCUUCUAAGAGAGAAUAGGAACUGAUAGAAUACUGACCAACGUGUACCCAGGUCCUGAAACGCCUAGAUUCUGUGGCAUGUGCUUUUCGUCUUUCAACGAGAGGGGUUGUGGAGACACGAGCAUGCUUGGGCAGUACUGCCUAACGACCAGGACCAACACCCUUGGGCUUAAGGCCAAGUUCAAUCCUGACCCUGUGUCCUUGGCUCGGUGAUUUAAACUCUUGGAGCCACAACCUCUUAUCUCCUACCAUGACAAAAACUGUCACGUCUCUUUUGGUCGGAUUGUGAAAUGGACUAAAUAACACGAUGCCAAGUGGUGUCAGAAGCAUCUGUCGAAGCGAAUGACACUUCAGCCUUGAAGCCUUUCUCUUGCACAGGCCCUUUUCAAGACCCUGGGAGUACUGAAUGCUUGCAGUAUUUGAAACCUUCAUAAAAUUCACGAUUUAGAAUCUUUUCCUUCUUAACACUUAUUUUCAUGCCUGAUUGGUAUGUAUAAAGUUUUGUGAGUUUUCUUAAAGAAAAUCCCUAACUCACACAAGCUGCAGGCUCCAGCAAGUGUUCGGCUCAGGACCUGGAAUGUAGACAUAAUUCACGACAUGGUAGAUGACAAUGGUUCCGUUUAAUUCUUUGAGAGAUGUUUAAGGCUUUGUUCAAAUUAGUGAGUUAGAACGCAUGGCGACAGCUAAAAGAAUAUAUAUCCUGAUGAAGAUGAUGAUAAUGAUGAGGGCCAGCAUUUUAUCUUAUUAACUUCAUUUAAUUUGGGAGGGCUGCACCCAUGGCGUGCAGACGUUCCUGAGCCAGGGAUCAAACCCAAGCCCAUGGUAGAAACAAUGCCAGAUCCCUAACCACUAGGCCACCAGGGAACUCCCAGUGACCGUAUAUUAAAUAUGACCACCCCUUCUAUAGGAAACUAAAUAACUGGUGAAUUUUUUAUUGGAUAAUCCAGCACCUUGUGGCAAGAGUCCUAGAAUGUCUCCAAAGUCCCUAAGAUGAAGACAGAUAAUUAACGAAUUGGUAGGGGGAGAAAGAGAAAGGGUCGCUAGUCAUCAGCGUCUGGUUAGUUAUGUCUGCAUCCAUCAGCCCGUCUGGACUUUUCCAUUACGAACGCCCGCCCCUUCGCCAAGUUCCCCAGGGGCGGGGUGGCACCCCUCACCCACACAGAGGGUGGUCAGCUGUUUGUAGGUCUCUCCAUUGUUUCUCUCAGUCACGGUCCCGGACUCUUAUCUGUCCCACUCUCCUCCUUCUAUACUGUGGUUGCAUUUUUCUGUGGUAUUGAACGCUGCGGAUAACGCUGGUAAAAAAUGCGAAUCCUUCAGGGCACAUUAGAACACCCUUUGUUUAAACUCACUCCCACCCCAUUUCUCUGCCAGGAGCCUGGUGAGGAGGAAGGCGUGAGCCGAGAGAAAGGGCCAAGCCGCAUACUUAAAAUUCCAUCAGUUCGAUUUCUUUAAUGCACGAUGGUCAUUUUUAAUCUCGCUCUGUUUGACAAAUACCUGCAUUUCAAGUAAGUGUUAAGAUUGUGUCUGUUUUUAUUAGAACUUAUUCGUCAUUAUGUGACAGUCGUUUCUGAUGACACCUGUCAUGGGCCCGGUUUCCGUGGUGAAUACUGUCAGGUCCCAGAAUAGAAGCGGACCAAGCCCCAUUCAUUCCCUGAACACACGCCGUGGGCCCACCACGCAGGGUACCAUUUUUCUCGCCAUUCAAAACUGAGAAAAUGGAGAACACAAAUGAGGAGGAGGUUGAUCUUUAGACACAGAGACUAGAAUUGCCGGGAAGUUUCAGGAAUUUUGAAGGCAGAAGUCUGUGCGGGCAGUGCCGUCAAUUGUGUAGUUGGGGAGUUUGGCUCUCUGGGCACUUGGAACACAGUAAAUUGACAACUUUAGAUUCCAAGUUGUCUGCCUGUAUGGUUUCAGUUUAAAUUCUUAGCCCUGCGGGAAACUCAGCCCGGCCAAGUCGUGUCAUUCACUGAAUAGCCAUCCAUCUGUUCAUUCAGCAAAUAUUUAGUUAUUUACAGUAUCCAUUCACUCUACAGAACAUUCAAUAGAUGUGUAUUCACGCAUUUAUUUAACAAGCGAAUGUGUUUUUAAAUGAACACUUGUUAAAUUUCUACUGUAUGGAAGACGCAGGGAUGGGCCAUCUUGGCAGCUGCACUGUUCUCCCCAAGAGCCUAUAAAUCCAGGAAAGUUCUUGUCCUCAUGUCACCAUCAUGGAAAGGCCCUAACCUUAAUCUUGAUUGUACCACACAGUCUUAUAGCCUCUGUGAGGUAGACAGAUGGGGGCAGGCGAAUGCUCUAGACCAUGGUAGGUGUCUCCGUUACUCUCUCUGCCUCCCAGUGAAUGUGCAGAAAAGGUCUUCUACAUACACAAAGUCUGAUACUAGGUACUCAAAAAAAAAAAAAAAAAAAAAAAAAAAAAAAAAAAAAAAAGACAUCAGCUGUACCAAACUUCAUAGUCCAGAGGCAUGCAGGGUGCUCUGGAAACUCACACUUGAUUGGAGAAGGGAGGUGAGGAUUGAGAUGAAUGAAUGAACGCAUGAGGCUCUAUUUUGGUACCAGACUUCUAUGCUUGCUUUGGAAGCUAAGCCAGGCAGAGAAGACACCCAAGAAGAAGCAGACGCUCCCCAAGCUCACUCUGGUUGCAGACGCUGAAUCCCCCACCACUGCAGGGCUUAAUUAUCAAAAGAAGCGAGGUGAGCAUUUUCCAAACCUUUCUGUGAGUAGCCUGGGCUGGGUUUUGACCUGUGCCAGCCCUCACCUAUCAUCACUCAGGCCUGCCUGGCUGGAUAUCAACCCCUGGGUCUAGUGGGGAGUCGUGUGCAUCCAGGGAGUCUGAAACAAGGAGACAUGACUGGUGGGUUGGGCAGAGCACUUGACAGGCAUCAAUUAUGAUACUCAGACCCCUCCAAGCACUUGCCCUCUCUGCAACAGCGUAUAAUUAGGGAAGGGUAGGUAAUCAGGAGCUUAGUGAUUUUCAAAGGAGCACCUGUGCAAACGACGCCCAGCAACAUCUGCCAACCCUUCUGGACGAACGAUCAGGAUGUAAUCUGCUCGAACUUGCUGCUCUUAAGGCGGGCAAUGUUAGGGUAGGGUGAUAGACAUCCAUGUGCAGGACUUCAUUCCUCAAGCUACGUGAGUGGAGGCCAUAGUGGAGAGGACGUGGAGGGUGCACUCAGAGAGUAAAGGUCAGACGUCCAAUCUCCAGUCUGUCGUCGAUAACCAUAUAAGCCUGAACAACCUCCUCAAGGCCUCUAACCCUCAGUUUCCUCAUCUGUAAAAGGGGAGCAGAUCAAACCCACAGGGUGCGGUUAUGAGGAUAUUAGCGCAAGGCCUGUAAUAUACCUGGGUAGUUACUGCACAGAGCAGAUAACAAGUGGCAAUUAGUGUUACUUAGAGUAAUGAAACGCAAGGUAAUUAAAAAAGAAUAAACAGAGAUACCAAAAUCUUUAUUUUUGCCAAAUUAGCAUGGCCCUUACAAUUAUCCAGUUCUCAAUAAUAAUAAAAAAAAAACCCUUCUAUUUUAAAGAUUCUCACACUAAAGUAAAAAGGAUAUAGGAGCUUCCCUUCAGAAGAAAACUCUUCAUUAAGAUAAUUUAGCAUUUCAAAAAAAUAAUAAAAUCAUUUUCCAGUUUGAUUUGGAGUUUAGCAUCAGUUAAUUUCUCUUUGUUCUUCUCUCCUGGUUGUGCUAAUGUCCCCUUUGUGUGUGUACAUUUGUCCAAUGCAAUCUAAGAAACAAUCACCUUAAUUGAUCGGGUGUUAACCUCUAACAGCUUAAGACAUAGGCUUUUUAUCUAUCGCUCAAUCUCUGCUGCAGAUGUAAUUCCCUAUAGUGCUUCCAUCUUUGUCACCAUCACCAGUGGUUCCUUCUCAGGAAAGCAUUUCAGUAAAUAAUGCUGCUGCAAACAAAACAGGCCAUUUACCCGAGGGGCCCCGCCAUCGUGGAAAAGCCCAGUUAUGGUCUCAUGCUUUGCCCGGUGGUGUACAUAAUGAUAAAUUUCAUACAGGUGUCACCCUUUCCAAGACCCUGGCAAGGAUUGAUGGUUUACAGUAGGCUGAUCCAUCAUCCGGGGCAGGUGGCACCCUAUCGGAAUUUCAGAAAUCUGUUCCCAAUCACAUUCACUGUUGGGUGACUCAGUAACGACCCUAUUUGCGGUGCGUUACUGAAAAUCAAUGUGCUGCAUUCAAGGUCAAUGUACUGUUGGAAAACUCUUUAAGCGCUGAUGGAUGGAUUGUGCCCAUUCAGAAUAAAUGCGAGAAAAAAGGGACAGCUGAGCAUCCAAGAGUCACACCAAUUUUCAAAGACAGGCUUCCUCCUUGAGCAGGCAGUGGGAUUCCCGGAGGGGUGACCUCACACAUCUCCUCUUGCUCUCUGUUGAGAGGGCUGUGUCUGCAUUUAUGAGGGUGUCUUCCCUCACACAAUUAAAGCAUCCACAUCCAGAAUCUCUGUGGAUAUUUUAUCAAGCCCAUGCUUCAGAAACCCUCCAAGUCAAGUGGGGAUCAAAGAAUUCAACAGGAGCCAAUCGAGGCCAAGCACCAGGUGGACAAGUUAAAGCACACCUAUUGAGAGAAAUAACUCAGAAAACGACCAAAGACAAGACACUCAUCCCUUAGUUUAUUUCAUAAACAUAGCAUCUUCAAAAUGUGCCACGCAGUGAAGGAGGGGUCGGGGUAUAAAAAAUGA
rnacentral:lncRNA from 1 species